rnacentral:lncRNA from 1 species
GUAUUUACUAGGUUUCUACUUUGUUUCAAUUUUCGCUACGUUUGUUGUUGAAUUUUCAAAACACACGGGGCAGGUCCCGUUUUGAACAAAGGAUCACUACGUUUCGAUACGAUUCGUUACGUAUAUUCCAGUUUCGCCAUAUGCUUUCAAAACGUAGUUCUUGAAACGUGACAGUGUGAAUGGGGCUUAAGCGAUAUCUCGUCCGUAAUCAUUGUAAUAUAUAAAAGUGGUAAUAAACUAAGCAUUAUGGAAUACCUGCCACAAACAACCUUACAUUUAAGAACAUUUAAAAACAACAACUGAUUAGAUUCCUGGCUUUCGACCUGUUGGGACUUAAUUUUGACAUCUCCUCUUCCUCUUUUCAAUAUGAAAUUAUAAGUUUAAUAUUCAAUCUAUAAUUGCUUACCCG